GAAUGCGUUCCCGGGUCUUGUACACACCGCCCGUCACACCACGGGAGUUGGAGACGCCCGAAGCCGAUUAUCUAACCUUUUGGAAGAAGUCGUCGAAGGUGGAAUCAAUAACUGGGGUGAAGUCGUAACAAGGUAGCCGUAUCGGAAGGUGCGGCUGGAUCACCUCCUUUCUAAGGAGA
rnacentral:rRNA from 1 species